AAUCUGCAUAAUAUGGCACAGUAUUCUACCGAUGAAAACUUUCACGGGAGCACAAACAACUGAGAAAUUUUCAUAUCAAAUUUGCUGAAUGGUCUAAGGACAAAAUCAGAUAAAGGUUCCAAAAAAUACAAAGAAAGCCACAGAAGCCAUAUGUUCCUAAGAAUUCAUUCAUUCCUCCCCUUUAAGGAAUACAAAUAUAAAAGACCGUAAGAAUAGCCAGAAAAGCAGAAUUCGAGAUUGAUUCACGAGGGUAAUGUUUCAUAAUUCAACAUUUUACACAAGAAAAAUGUACAUACAUACUUAAAAAUUGAAGUGCAAAAUAGUUUAAAAAA